GACGAACGCUGGCGGCGUGCCUAAUACAUGCAAGUUGAGCGCUGAAGGUUGGUACUUGUACCAACUGGAUGAGCAGCGAACGGGUGAGUAACGCGUGGGGAAUCUGCCUUUGAGCGGGGGACAACAUUUGGAAACGAAUGCUAGUACCGCAUAAAAACUUUAAACACAAGUUUUAAGUUUGAAAGAUGCAAUUGCAUCACUCAAAGAUGAUCCCGCGUUGUAUUAGCUAGUUGGUGAGGUAAAGGCUCACCAAGGCGAUGAUACAUAGCCGACCUGAGAGGGUGAUCGGCCACACUGGGACGGAGACACGGCCCAAACUCCUACGGGAGGCAGCAGUAGGGAAUCUUCGGCAAUGGACGAAAGUCUGACCGAGCAACGCCGCGUGAGUGAAGAAGGUUUUCGGAUCGUAAAACUCUGUUGGUAGAGAAGAACGUUGGUGAGAGUGGAAAGCUCAUCAAGUGACGGUAACUACCCAGAAAGGGACGGCUAACUACGUG
rnacentral:rRNA from 1 species